AUUGAACGCUGGCGGCAUGCUUUACACAUGCAAGUCGAACGGCAGCGGGGGCUUCGGUCUGCCGGCGAGUGGCGAACGGGUGAGUAAUGCAUCGGAACGUGCCCAUGUCGUGGGGGAUAACGUAUCGAAAGGUACGCUAAUACCGCAUACGUCCUGAGGGAGAAAGCGGGGGAUCUUCGGACCUCGCGCGAUUGGAGCGGCCGAUGUCGGAUUAGCUAGUAGGUGAGGUAAAGGCUCACCUAGGCGACGAUCCGUAGCGGGUCUGAGAGGAUGAUCCGCCACACUGGGACGGAGACACGGCCCAGACUCCUACGGGAGGCAGCAGUGGGGAAUUUUGGACAAUGGGCGCAAGCCUGAUCCAGCCAUGCCGCGUGAGUGAAGAAGGCCUUCGGGUUGUAAAGCUCUUUCGGCCGGGAAGAAAUCGGCGACUCUAACAUAGUCGCUGGAUGACGGUACCGGACUAAGAAGCACCGGCUAACUACGUGCCAGCCGCCGCGGUAAUAC
rnacentral:rRNA from 1 species